UCGCACUGCGCUCGUGAUUACGAUAUAGAACUGGGAAAAACCGGGAGACACGGAAUAUUGAAGACGACACAAACAAUUCCUCCGUUCCGUAUCUGUCAGGUUUUUCUAGUUUCAUGACGGCCAGCUAGUCUGCGUACUUUUGCUUGUGUCGAUGAUAACAGUGGUCUCACGACGGAAGGUCACCAAUUCUACUAACAAGUGCGUAAUUGGAGUGGUUCAGUUUUGGAGAGAUUCUCUUCGCGCUAGGUUGACUUCGUGCUUCCAGUGGUUCCCAACACUAAUAUUUUCCUUGCAUCAGUGUCACGACGUCACAGCUGUUGGAACUCCCGCAACGUUCAAUAAUCGGCGCCUGUAAAGCGUGCUUUCCCUCAUAUACACCUGCCAUGUGGAGAAGUCGACCCUCGUUCUUGCCUUAACCUUUAUUUUUAUUAUUAUUUUUUUUCUUUUUUCUUUUUUUUCGAACACAGGCACACCAGGUGCUUAUACCUGUCCCUUUUUCUUUCACGCCUGGGCUUCGUGGUGUUCCAAAUGUCUUCGCUUCCAUGUCAUGGAUUGCUGCACAUCCUGUGUCUUUUGGAAGUUAAUAACGUAGCGUGCGCUAUACGUUAUCACCAAAGUAAUGUUAUAUACGUGUUCGUUCCUCAUAAAGCAUUUCAAUAAAUGAAACACAUUACAAAAA